rnacentral:rRNA from 1 species
GACGACGCUGGCGGCGUGCCUAACACAUGCAAGUCGAGCGGAGUCGAUCGACGGAAGCCUUCGGGCGGAAGAUGGUUGACUUAGCGGCGGAUGGGUGAGUAACGCGUGGGCAACCUGCCUCGAAGACCGGGAUAACAGUCCGAAAGGGCUGCUAAUACCGGAUGUGGUCAAGGAUCCGCAUGGAUUUUGAUUAAAGGGGAAACCCGUUUCGAGAUGGGCCCGCGUCCUAUCAGCUAGUUGGUGAGGUAAAAGCUCACCAAGGCGACGACGGGUAGCCGGCCUGAGAGGGUGACCGGCCACACUGGAACUGAGACACGGUCCAGACUCCUACGGGGGGCAGCAGUGGGGAAUCUUCCACAAUGGGCGAAAGCCUGAUGGAGCGACGCCGCGUGAGCGAAGAAGGCCUUCGGGUUGUAAAGCUCUGUCUGGAGGGACGAAGGAAGUGACGGUACCUCCGGAGGAAGCCACGGCUAACUACGUG